GACGAACGCUGGCGGCGUGCCUAAUACAUGCAAGUCGAACGCAGUUGCGAACGGGUGAGUAACGCGUAGGUAACUGCCUGGUAGCGGGGGAUAACUAUUGAAAACGAACGCUAAUACAGCAUAAUACCAGAUGGACCUGCGUUGUAUUAGCUAGUUGGUGAGGUAACGGCUGACCAAGGCAACGAUACAUAGCCGACCUUGGAGGGGGGUCGGGCACACUGGGACCGGGACACGGGCCAGACUCCUACGGGAGGCAGCAGGAGGGAAUCCUCGGCAAUGGGGGGAACCCUGACCGAGCAACGGCGCGUGAGUGAAGAAGGGUUUCGGGUCGUAAAGCUCUGUUGUUAAGGAAGCGGUACUUAACCAGAAAGCGACGGCUAACUACGUGCCAGCAGCCGCGGUAAUUC
rnacentral:rRNA from 1 species